rnacentral:rRNA from 1 species
GACAGAGGGUGCAAACGUUGUUCGGAUUUACUGGGCGUAAAGCGCACGUAGGCGGCUUUGCAAGUCCGAUGUGAAAUCCCUCGGCUUAACCAAGGAAGUGCAUCGGAAACUGCAGAGCUUGAGUACUUAAGAGGAUCGCGGAAUUCCCGGUGUAGAGGUGAAAUUCGUAGAUAUCGGGAGGAACACCAGUGGCGAAGGCGGCGAUCUGGGAAGAUACUGACGCUGAGGUGCGAAAGCGUGGGGAGCAAACAGG